rnacentral:lncRNA from 1 species
AAAUUCAAAAAAAUCUCAAAGAAAUUUCAAACAAACAAUAAGAAUUCUUAAAGAUAUAUUAGAAGAAUCACAAAUAUCACUCAAAUACAUCUCAAUUUAAUCUUAAUUUAAUUCUAGUUAAAAUCCUAUUUAACUUCAUUCAAACUUUAGGCAAAAACUAAUUGAAUCUUAAAUCCUAAUCAAAUCCUAAAUCAAACUCUAAACCCUAAAUCAACCGUAACCAAAGCCUAAACCCUAAACCAAACCUUAGCCAAAUCAUAAUCCAAAUCCUAAACCUUAAAUCAAACUCUAAUCCAAACCCUAAAUUCUAAACCAAAUUCUAAACUCAAAACAAAACCCUAACCAAAUACUAAAUCAAAUCCUAAAUCCUAAAUCAAAUC